GAUGAAGAACGCAGCGAAAUGCGAUACUUGGUGUGAAUUGCAGAAUCCCGUGAACCAUCGAGUCUUUGAACGCAAGUUGCGCCCGAAGCCAUCAGGUUGAGGGCACGUCUGCCUGGGCGUCACAUAUCGUUGCUCGAUGCCUAUCGCAUUGCGAUAGGACUUAGGGCGAAUGAUGGCUUCCCGUGAGCGUUGUUGCCUCGCGGUUGGUUGAAAAUCGAGUCCUUGGUAGGGUGUGCCAUGAUAGAUGGUGGUCGAGUUCGCACGAGACCGAUCAUGUGCAUGCUCCCCAAAAUAUGGCCUCUGUGACCCACACGCGUCUUUUGACGCUCAUGACGAGACCUCAGGUCAGGCGGGGCUACCCGCUGAAUUUAAGCAUAUCAAUAAGCGGAGGA
rnacentral:misc_RNA from 1 species